rnacentral:tRNA from 1 species
GCGCAAGUGGUGGAACGGCAUACACAGCAGCUUGAGGUGCUGCCGGGCCGAAAGGCCCUUGCGGGUUCAAGUCCCGCCUCGCGCA